GGCAAGAGUGAAGUUCUCUUCACUCUUAUCAACUCCUUUCUUGUUUGUAGUCUAAAUUUAAGAGUCUCUAGUUUCCUUAUCUUUUGACAAUAACCAUUCCAGUUUCUUUUUAAUGUGCAUACUACUUUAUUGUUAUUUUGUCACUUUUCUUUUGAGAUAGAUUUCUUAGAUUUAUGCAUCUUUGUGGUUGUCGUUUUACUUAUUCUAUAAUUCUUUUUAGAAUAAACCUAUAUACGAGAAUUUGAAUACAAGGAAAGACUAAGUGUAUGAGUUUUGCUUGUUAGGGUCACAUAAUUAAGUGUAUUUUGAACUACUAAAACACUAAAAAAUACUACGAUGCUUUCUCCUAGUAACAAUACUCCUUCAUCAACUGAUAACAACAGUGUGCAAUCUUGCACUCUCAAAAAACCGCUCAAAAUACAUAAUUUCCAUCCAAUACCAGAAAUAACACACUUCACUCCAACCAAUCUGAAUUCACAGAAUUUCUAUAAUCACCAACUUCAUUUGUCCAAAAUACACAUAGCUCUCAAUAAACAACUAUCAUAAUCCUCUAAUAACUCCUCAUAUAAUUCAAUCACUCAGUGCUCCAAUUACAUAAUCAAUAACUCAUAAAUCAAUCUCUGAUUUAUUCC
rnacentral:lncRNA from 1 species